GAUUAAGGUCCUCUGGAUUGUAAACUUCUUUUAUUUGGGACGAAAAAAGGGAAUUCUUUCCCACUUGACGGUACCAAGUGAAUAAGCACCGGCUAACUCCGUGCCAGCAGCCGCGGUAAUACGGAGGGUGCAAGCGUUAUCCGGAUUCACUGGGUUUAAAGGGUGCGUAGGCGGGUAUGUAAGUCAGUGGUGAAAUCUCGGAGCUUAACUCCGAAACUGCCAUUGAUACUAUAUAUCUUGAAUAUUGUGGAGGUUUGCGGAAUAUGUCAUGUAGCGGUGAAAUGCUUARAUAUGACAUAKAACACCUAUUGCGAAGGCAGCASGYUWCMYWURUWUUGACSCUGARGCACGAAAGCSUGGGGAUCAAGCMGGAUUARAUACCCUGGAAGGCCGCGCCCUARACRAUGGAUACUCGACAUACKCKAUACACUGUGUGUGUCUGARCGAAAGCAUUWASUAUCCCACCUGGGAAGUACGACCGCARGGUUGAAACUCAAAGGAAUUGACGGGGGCCCGGMCAACCAGUGCASCAUGUGGUUUAAUUCGAAUCAACGCGCAKAACCUUUCCAGGGCUAGAAAAACUGASAAUCCUGACGAAACUCGRGAGUGCUCGCAAGASAACUCAGAGUCCAGGUGCUGCAUGGCUGUCGYCAGCUCSYGUCRUGAGAUGUUGGGGYUAAGUCCCGCAACGAGCGCAACCCUUAUCCUUAGUUGCCAUCA
rnacentral:rRNA from 1 species